UACGGGGGGGGCAAGCGUUGUUCGGAAUUACUGGGCGUAAAGGGCGCGUAGGCGGCCUUCUAAGUCAGACGUGAAAUCCCUCGGCUUAACCGAGGAACUGCCCUCCAAACUGCUUGGCUUGAGUCCGGGAGAGGUGAGUGGAAUUCCCAGUGUAGCGGUGAAAUGCGUAGAUAUUGGGAGGAACACCAGUGGCGAAGGCGGCUCACUGGACCGGAACUGACGCUGAGGCGCGAAAGCGUGGGGAGCAAACAGG
rnacentral:rRNA from 1 species